rnacentral:rRNA from 1 species
UACGUAGGGGGCAAGCGUUGUCCGGAAUUAUUGGGCGUAAAGAGCUCGUAGGCGGCUUGUCACGUCGGGUGUGAAAGCCCGGGGCUUAACCCCGGGUCUGCAUUCGAUACGGGCUAGCUAGAGUGUGGUAGGGGAGAUCGGAAUUCCUGGUGUAGCGGUGAAAUGCGCAGAUAUCAGGAGGAACACCGGUGGCGAAGGCGGAUCUCUGGGCCGUAACUGACGCUGAGGAGCGAAAGCGUGGGGAGCGAACAGG